rnacentral:rRNA from 1 species
UACAGAGGUCCCGAGCGUUGUUCGGAUUCACUGGGCGUAAAGGGUGCGUAGGUGGCUUGAUAAGUUUGAUGUGAAAGCUCAGGGCUUAACCCUGAAAUGGCAUUGAAAACUGUCGGGCUGGAGGUUUGGAGGGGGGACUGGAAUUCUUAGUGUAGCAGUGAAAUGCGUAGAUAUCAAGAGGAACACCAGUGGCGAAGGCGAGUCCCUGGACAACACCUGACACUGAGGCACGAAAGCUAGGGGAGCAAACAGG